rnacentral:rRNA from 1 species
UACAGAGGUCCCAAGCGUUGUUCGGAUUCACUGGGCGUAAAGGGUGCGUAGGUGGUUAGGUAAGUCCGAUGUGAAAUCUCCAGGCUCAGCCUGGAAAUGGCAUUGGAUACUAUUUAGCUUGAGGAGUGGAGGGGGGACUGGAAUUCUCGGUGUAGCAGUGAAAUGCGUAGAUAUCGAGAGGAACACCAGUGGCGAAGGCGAGUCCCUGGACACUUCCUGACACUGAGGCACGAAAGCGUGGGGAGCAAGACGG